rnacentral:rRNA from 1 species
UACAGAGGGGGCAAGCGUUGUUCGGAAUUACUGGGCGUAAAGGGCGCGUAGGCGGCCCGCUAAGUCGAACGUGAAAUCCCCGAGCUCAACUCGGGAACUGCGUCCGAUACUGGCGGGCUUGAAUCCGGGAGAGGGAUGCGGAAUUCCAGGUGUAGCGGUGAAAUGCGUAGAUAUCUGGAGGAACACCGGUGGCGAAGGCGGCAUCCUGGACCGGCAUUGACGCUGAGGCGCGAAAGCCAGGGGAGCAAAGCGGG